rnacentral:lncRNA from 1 species
AAAUUAAAUUUUUAGUUUUACUAUGUACGAUAUAUUCUUAUAUCACGAUCGAGCGACCUAACUCAUAUUCUUAUUUCUUAAGUCGAAAAUAUCUCAAUUCAUGUUCCAAAAUCUCAUAAUUAUAAGUGUUUCAUCAUAUAUAAAAGAGUAAAUGACACUUUAGUACUAAUUUAAGCUUCUUUUUGUCCAUUUAAAUGUUUUUAAAAAAAAUGUGCCCACUUCAAUAUAAGGUGUGUGAAAUGUGCCUUAUUGGACAAAACUUUUUUAAUGGGCCCACUUUUAACAGUUUUUUCUGUCGAAAAUACCCUCAAUUUAUUUAUUUUUUCUGUUCUUCCCUCCCAAGUAAUAAACUUUACUGGGGGUAGUAAUGUGUCCAAGUCGUUAGAUUUACUUGUUCUGCAGCCUAACACAUACUUUACUAGGGGUAGUAAAGUUUCCAGAACCUUAGUUUUUGUUGUUCUGCACCCUAGAACAUACUUUACUAGGGGUAGUAAUGUUUCCAGAGCAUAAAAAAACACAACUAAGAGGGUAGUAAUGUUGUUCUGCACCCAGUAAUAAACUUUACUGGGGGUAGUAAUGUUUCCAAGUCAUCAGAUUUACUUGUUUUGCAGCCUAACACAUACUUUACUAAGGGUAGUAAUGUUUCCAGAGCAUAAAAAAACACAACUAAAGGGGGUAGUAAUGUUGUUCUGCACCCAGUAAUAAACUUUACUGGGGGUAGUAAUGUUUCCAAGUCGUUAGAUGUACUUGUUCUGCAGCCUAACACAUACUUUACUAGGGAUAGUAAAGUUUCUAGAACCUCAGUUUUUGUUGUUUUGCACCGCCAAGGCCAUCGAGGGCGCCUUCACCCCCGGCCAGGUCUGCCUCAUCAUCGAGGACCUCGUCACCAUCGGCGCCUCCGUUCUUGAAACCGCCGCUCCGUGCAGCCGGGUUGAAGGUCUGCGACGCCGUCAUCUCCGAUCGGUUAGACCAGUCGCGCCGCCUCCUAGAGGAUGCGAUUGUCCUCAACCCGUCCGAUCCGUCCAUAUCCAAGCUAGAGCUCGGCGUCUUGGACGACGCCGAUCAGAGGACGAUGGCGAAGACAAUGACCAUGGAGGACGAUUGCAGGGAUGGUGAUGACGAUGGCGAGCUUGGUGUCAAGGCGGAGGCGGUGGGUUAGGCGCGGCACGGUGGCAGACAGAUUCGAGAUCAAUGGCGAAGAGAGAGAGAGAGAGAGAGAGAGAGAGAGAGAGAGAGAGAGAGAGAGAGAGAGAGAGAGAGAGAGAGAGAGAGAG